UUUUUUAUUUUUAAAGUUAUGUUUCCUUUUAUCAAAUUUUCACCAUUUUACAAACACAUUUGUACCUUUAAAUAAUUUGAUUAUACUUUUAUUAUCUUUUAAAGCAAUAUGUAGAAUUCGUUUUUAGAAAACCAAAAAUAAAAUAGGUAUUUCUUCCCCCCCCCUAAAAUUGAUUGAAAAAGUCGUACAAAAUUUCCCGGUCAACACUCAAUUAUAAAGUGGAAAUUGAUCUUACUUUUUUGUUGUUUUUGGUUUCAAUUGUUUUCUUGCUUUUUUUAGUUUAAAAAAAAAAAAAACUGAAUGAAUUUGAACUUGUGGCCUUAGAGUCAAUGAUUUAUACUUAGAAGUGAUAAAAUAAACCAAAAUUUUGAUGUAAAACUCAUUAUUCUAGUAAAAUUUGGGAGAAAAAAAGAGCCAUAAAAGAAAAUAUUCUUAAGAUUGUUAAUGAUUUUACAACCUGGUCUCAUGGUCUCAAGUCGUUAUUUAUUCCUCUUAAAUAGUUCUUCCUUGCCAAACUUUCUUUGCACCCAUGUAGAAGGAAGGAAGCUGAAAGCGCGUUUGACGCAUUUAAAAAGGUUGUCUGGAAACCGUAUUGCACCUCUAAGAUAAAAGUUGGAGGGUUCAGGAGUGUAGAGACCUCAUUACAAAGAGUGGGGAGUGAAUGUCGCUAUGGGACAACUGGCCUAUGAGAUUUGAUUGGAGUUGGUCUCUUGUCAUUCCCUCCUAGGUGUAACUUUUUGAUUGGUUGUGGAUUCUUAAAUUGCCACUCUUCCUCCCUUUCCAUCACUGGACCUUGUGAUUACGCUCAUUUACAAGUGUUAUUUAGGUUAUUGUUCAUAGAGUAAAUCUCUAUUGUCAUAUUUCACAUUGUUUAAAAGUAAAUUGAAGUAAAAACAAGUAUAUUAGUGUUUGAGCUUUUAUUUGUAAAAGAGAGUAAAUGGGUGUAAAAAAAAGCUCAGUCAUGGUUCUUUUUGUGUAUAAUGGUAGAAAAAUCUAAAUGGGUUAUGUAUGCGAUCAUAUUUGAAGGAAGAAGACAAAAAUCAACUGAAUUCGGUACAUGUGAAAUUCAUUGAGUAUAAUGCUAUAACUAAACCUCAUUCAUUUAUCACUCCAGAUUUAGGAUUUGACCGAUUUUUAGAAAGUUCUCUAUCAAAACUUUUCAAUUCAAGAAAUUUUGAUCCGCUACACUUCACGCAUGGACCUCAAUAGAAACCUUAGAUCUUGAAGUCUAUUAGGGUGGCUAAAGCUUCAUUUUGGGAAAUUUGUUUGCACAAGUUUCUUUUUUAUCGCCCUAUCGAAUCUCCUUCAGUUCUAUUCGAGCUCCAUUCAUUCAAGUUUGUAGUUGCCGUUUUCCUUUAUAUUUUUUAUUGUUGUUAUUUGCUUUCUAUAAGUCGUAAGCUUUGUUUUAGCAUUUGAAUUCAAUUUCUAAAACUAACUUUUUAAACAGUUUUGUUCUUGAUUGAUCUAAGUGCAAAUUAGCCAUAGAUAGGUAUGUUUAAUUCUUCUAAAAGUACUUAUGACUCAUAGUUUUAAGUGUAAAUUAGGGGCAUGUUGUUGACACAUUUAAAUUUCAUUUUGUUUGAAUUGGAAAGAAUUUGAAAGAGCUAGAUGCAGGCGAAAAUGGAUAACAAUUGUUGUAUUAGCGUUGUUUAGUUGAGAAAAUUGCCCAUAAAGGUUGGGCAAGGCACUUAUGGCCAAAUAAGGUCGAGACCCCAAAGGGAGCCAAGUCUCCCAUUAGCCUUAAAGGCCAUGUUUCAAAGGAAUUAACCGUGUGUCAUAGAUCGAGCUAAGGUUAAGAUCCCCCAUGACAAACGAUCUCAUAAAUGACCAAUAGCUAAGGUGAUCCAAUUAAAACUCAAUCUUAUAACCAUUUUCUGAUCCAAUUAAAACUCAAUCUUAUAACCAUUUUCUGUGAUGACACCUUGAUAAUUCUGAUAAGGUUCUCGGCCCUAACUACACAACAAUUUCUUAUGUACGAAAAGAUGCGCUUGAAACCCUUUAAAUAUCCUGUCAACAAUAUUUACAAACUCAAUAACUAAACUGAGUAUCAAAGUGAAGGUGACUUAGCAUAACAGUUGGGCACAUUUCUCUUAUUUUGCAAGACAUUAGUUUGAUUUCCCGUUUCAUUGACAAAUUGAUUUUCAUCAAUAAAAUUUGGAAGUUUUUAUUUAUUUUUAAUUUUUGAUCUGAAAGUUGAAAAAGAAAAAUAACGAAAUUAGUCCAAAAAGCGGCUGUGCGUGAUGUGCUGUUAAGUAUGUAAAAAGUGGACGUUGGGAAUUCGCAACGGCUAUAUUUUGUUUGAACUUCAAAAUGAUCAUUACGAUUUUUGCACUUUUCCAUUUCUUCUUUUUUCUCAUUUCAACGGUUCUUCUUCUUCUUCUUCUUCUUCUUCUUUUUCCCCUGUAGCUCCCCUAAUUCCUCGUCCUUCCUUUCAUCCAAUCUUGAAGCCCCUCGAUUGAAACCCUAGUGAUCUGCAAAUCAAUCUUGAAAUCAAAUCUAGAUAAUUCUUCUUCUGCAGUUCUCUUCACUGUAAUGGCUCCAACGCCGUCUUCUAAAUCAAAUCAAAGUCACAUGAGCCAAUUGAGAACUCCUCAAGCGAAGCGGCUCAAUUUCCAUACCCCUAGGGCACAUCCAUCCCCUUUCCCCAAUUCCGCCAUUAAAGACUCCCAAUCCGAGCACCCAGCAGAAGUAAUCGGCCGGAUCCGAGAAUAUCCUGACCGGAAAGAAAAACCGGUUUCGAUUCUGCAGAUCAAUCCUGACGGUCAGAACGUUCGGGUUCGGGCCGAUUUCGGGUACCGCGAUUUCAGCCUCGAUGGUAUUUCUCUGUCGGAAGAGGAAGAUCUCGAUACGUUUUACAAGAAGUUCGUCCAAGCGAGGAUUCACGGCGUUAAGUUGGGGGAGAAAUGUACGAUUAUGAUGUACGGACCCACUGGCGCCGGCAAGAGCCACACCAUGUUUGGCUGUGCGAAACAGCCCGGGAUUGUGUAUCGGUCGCUGAAGGACAUUUUAGGCGACGGAGAAAGUGAAACCGCCGGCGGAGAGCGGUUGGGAGUUGGAAUGUUUGUACAAGUUACGGUGCUGGAGAUUUAUAAUGAAGAAAUAUAUGAUCUUCUAACGAGUAAUUCUGGUGGAGGGCUAGGGCUUGGCUGGCCUAAGGGCAGUGCCACUAAGGUGAAGCUUGAAGUGAUGGGGAAGAAGGCAAAGAAUGCUACUUAUCUAUCUGGUAAUGAAGCAGGAAAGAUUUCCAAAGAGAUUCAGAAAGUGGAGAAAAGAAGGAUUGUUAAAAGUACACUCUGUAAUGAGAGAAGUUCAAGAAGCCAUUGCAUGAUAAUCCUCGACGUGCCGACUGUCGGUGGGCGCCUAAUGCUUGUCGAUAUGGCUGGUUCUGAAAAUAUAGAGCAAGCUGGGCAAGUUGGAUUCGAGGCAAAAAUGCAGACAGCAAAGAUUAAUCAAGGUAACAUUGCACUGAAAAGAGUGGUUGAAUCAAUUGCUAAUGGUGAUUCUCAUGUGCCUUUUAGAGACAGUAAAUUGACAAUGCUUUUGCAGGAUUCUUUUGAGGAUGAUAAAUCCAAAAUUCUGAUGAUUCUAUGUGCCAGUCCUGAUCCCAAAGAAUUACACAAGACGAUCUCGACACUCGAAUAUGGUGCGAAAGCCAAAUGCAUCGUCCGUGGUCCGCAUACGCCGACGAAGGAUAAAUGUGGUGCUGAUGAGUCUGCUUCUGCUGUUAUUCUGGGAUCUAGAAUUGCAGCCAUGGAUGAUUUCAUCUUCAAGUUACAAAAGGAGAACAAACUCAGAGAGAAAGAGAGAAAUGAGGCACAUAGAGAACUCUUGAAGAAAGAAGAACAAGUGGCAGAAUUGAGAGCUAGGCUCGAGCAAGCAGGCUCGAGAGGAUCGGGGGCGAGCGAGGAAGAGAUCAAUUCGAAGGUGAACGAAAGAACCGAAAUUCUGAAACUUGAGUUGGAGAGGAAGCUGGAGGAGUGCCAGAGAAUGGCUCAUGAAUUUGUUGAAUUGGAAAGGAGAAGAAUGGAAGAGAGGAUACUGCAGCAGCAACACGAAGUCGAAACGUUGAGACGACGUUUGGAAGAAAUCGAAACCGGACUAUUGAAUUCAAGGAAUAAUGCAGCAACAAGCAAUGAUGUUGUAAACAAAUCAAGGGACAUGGAUGGCUGCAGGCUUGCUAAAAGGCUCUUAGGAGGAGUUUAUGCAAGUGCAGAUGCAGGGAUGGUGAAGUCCAUGGACUUGGACAUGGAUGAUCAAGAACCGAUCAUCGCCGGUAUGGAUUAUCAACCGUCUACCAACAAUGGUAUCCAAAGCCUACUAGAGAAAGUGAACGAGUCGGUCGAUCACGACGUGGUUUCAUCACGGUUUAGGGACAGUGAUAGAGUAUGCCUAAGUACUGUGUUAGAGGAAGACGAUGCAGAAGAUGAAGAGGAUAAGGAAGUAAUAGAAGAAAAGAGAGUAGUGAGUACAGUUAUGAACAGAAGUCAGAAUCUCAAGGAGAGAUCGGAGAUCGGCAUCGGAUUAAUAAACGAUGACGAAAACUCAAAGGACACCGCAUUCUCGAGAAAAUUGAGAAUUCAAAAUAUAUUUACUCUUUGUGGAAACCAGAGAGAACUUUCACAUCAAAUUCUAUCAGACAUGACGAACCAGAAGGGAGGAGCUGUAUUAGCAGAGAAUGAAGAGGCAAAGCUGCAGCCUAUAAAGCUAGCAGUAAAGGGGGGAGUGAACAGCCCAGGAGGUGUUGAUGAUGUUGUUGUGCCAUUGAGUCCAAUUCCAUUGUGUUCAAAGGAGAACAAGCUGCCCAUCACGCCAAACGACGUAUCGCAGCAACACGAUGGCCUAUCGCCGAGGCUUAGCACCACACCAUUCAUCACUGUAAGAAAACACUAGGAGAGAAGGGAAGGGGGACAUUUUUUAUGUUAGGCCCUUCUUGCAUUUUCCAUUGUGCUCAAAGGAGAACAAGCUAGCUGCCCGUCACGCCGAACGACGAAUCGCAGCAACGCGAUGGCCUAUCACCGAGGCGCUUUAUCUGCGCGACACCGUUCGGCACUGUAAGAAACAGAAAUUCAAUUGGCUGAUGGCUGCUGGGCUGCCAGGAAAAGGCAGAAGCUUUUCUUGGGAUGCUUUGUUUUGGAGGGGUCGACUCAAUUUUUAAGGGACUGACGUCAUUAAAAAGACAACUAAGAGAGAAAAAGGUUAUAAUUGAGAUGUUAUUAACUUUUAACGUUUA